ACCCUGCAGCAAGACAUCUUCAUUCUUCUCAAAGGAAGAUUCAGCUGUGAUGAGGAGAUCAGGGCUCUCAAGAUUUACCCAACAUGAUGUUUACAUUUUAACAUAUUCACAUGUCAGAAAUAGCUUGUAGGUUUCCUCUCAGAACUUCCGGAAUUCAUUAUGGACACAUCUUACUAUAUGGGAUCACUCUAACCAGGGGCUCUCAUUAUAGUUGUGCUGAAAAACAUUUCGAGUGUUUAAAAUGAGCGCAUUUGCAUGGCUCAGACCCAGUUGUGUUUCUUGGUGCUUGGUGUUCAGUAAACUGUAGGAAAGCUCACCUCCGCUGGCUUCCUGUGAUGUCACAAUGAAGGACUACUUGCUACCAAGAACCUUGUUGAAAACAGCCCAGCAUGUUGACAAUUUCACAGGGACCUCAGCCAUUGGAUAACUGACUUCUGACUUACAACAUGCCUCAUCUCCGUGUCUGCUUACUCCUAAAUAAAAUAGAAAUAU
rnacentral:lncRNA from 1 species